rnacentral:rRNA from 1 species
GAUGAACGCUGGCGGCGUGCUUAACACAUGCAAGUCGAACGGAAAGGCUCCUGCUUGCAGGGGUACUCGAGUGGCGAACGGGUGAGUAACACGUGGGUGAUCUGCCCUGCACUUCGGGAUAAGCCUGGGAAACUGGGUCUAAUACCGGAUAGGACGAUGGUUUGGAUGCCAUUGUGGAAAGUUUUUUCGGUGUGGGAUGAGCUCGCGGCCUAUCAGCUUGUUGGUGGGGUAAUGGCCUACCAAGGCGUCGACGGGUAGCCGGCCUGAGAGGGCGUACGGCCACAUUGGGACUGAGAUACGGCCCAGACUCCUACGGGAGGCAGAAGUGGGGAAUAUUGCACAAUGGGGGCAAGCCUGAUGCAGCGCGGCGGGGUGGGGGAUGACGGCCUUCGGGUUGUAAACUCCUUUAGCUAGGGACGAAGCGGAAGUGACGGUACCUGGAGAAGAAGCACCGGCUAACUACGUG